UGAGGAAUAUUGGUCAAUGGGUGCAAGCCUGAACCAGCCAUCCCGCGUGAAGGACGACUGCCCUAUGGGUUGUAAACUUCUUUUGUAUAGGGAUAAACCUACCCUCGUGAGGGUAGCUGAAGGUACUAUACGAAUAAGCACCGGCUAACUCCGUGCCAGCAGCCGCGGUAAUACGGAGGGUGCAAGCGUUAUCCGGAUUUAUUGGGUUUAAAGGGUCCGUAGGCGGACUUAUAAGUCAGUGGUGAAAGCCUGUCGCUUAACGAUAGAACUGCCAUUGAUACUGUAAGUCUUGAGUAUAUUUGAGGUAGCUGGAAUAAGUAGUGUAGCGGUGAAAUGCAUAGAUAUUACUUAGAACACCAAUUGCGAAGGCAGGUUACCAAGAUAUAACUGACGCUGAGGGGACGAAAGCGUGGGGACGAACAGGAUUAGAUACCCUGGUAGUCACGCCGUAAACGAUGCUAACUCGUUUUUGGGCUUUAGGGUUUCAGAGACCAAGCGAAAGUGAUAAGUUAGCCACCUGGGGAGUACGCUCGCAAGAGUGAAAGCUCAAAUGAAUUG
rnacentral:rRNA from 1 species